rnacentral:rRNA from 1 species
GACGAACGCUGGCGGCGUGCUUAACACAUGCAAGUCGAACGGAAAGGCCCUGCUUUUGUGGGGUGCUCGAGUGGCGAACGGGUGAGUAACACGUGAGUAACCUGCCCUUGACUUUCGGAUAACUUCAGGAAACUGGGGCUAAUACCGGAUAGGAGCUCCUGCUGCAUGGUGGGGGUUGGAAAGUUUCGGCGGUUGUGGAUGGACUCGCGGCUUAUCAGCUUGUUGGUGGGGUAGUGGCUUACCAAGGCUUUGACGGGUAGCCGGCCUGGGAGGGUGACCGGCCACAUGGGGACUGCGGUACGGACCAGACUCCUACGGGAGGCAGCAGUGGGGAAUAUUGCACAAUGGGCGGAAGCCUGAUGCAGCAACGCCGCGUGCGGGAUGACGGCCUUCGGGUUGUAAACCGCUUUCGCCUGUGACGAAGCGUGAGUGACGGUAAUGGGUAAAGAAGCACCGGCUAACUACGUG